rnacentral:tRNA from 1 species
UGGGAUGUAGCUCAGUGAUGGAGCGCUUGCUUGGCAUGUAGGAGGCCUUGAGUUCAAUCCCCAAUACCAA